AGCACUUGUCUUGACACGAUUAUAUAAUAUGUCGAUUCAGUUUGUACUGUUUUGUGUGAAAGAAACGCCUCCCACUGGCUGCUAUCACCAAGCUAGUGAACUCUUUUUUUUUUUCUUUCUUUUUUUCAUUUUGAAUUUGACUAAAUUAUUCCAUUUUUGGUCUAACGUUAUAUUUAAGUAUUUAUUUUACUUGUUUAUGGUUACAUUUGUCGCGAGCCUAUUAUUAGCUAGCCAGCCAUACAGGCUAGCUGGCCGAGGUCUUGUUUGAUAGCCCAGCUAGCGUUAGCUAGUAGCGGGUAGCCAAAUCCAGGGCAUACAGCAGCUGCUUUUAAUCCCUGUUUUUACUUGUUAAAGAAAAUGAAGAUAACGGUGGAAUUCGAGGAAUGUCUCAAAGACUCUCCAAGAUUCAGGGCCACUGUAGAGGAGGUGGAGGGGGAUGUCGGGGAACUGGAGUCCAAACUUGACAAGCUGGUGAAGCUAUGCAUCGGGAUGAUCGAUGCCGGCAAGGCCUACAACACUGCCAAUAAACAGUUUGUCAAUGGAAUCCGCGAGCUCGCUGCAAGCUCCACCAAAGAUGAAGUCAUCGAGUCCAGUCUCACAAAGUUUGCCGAGAGUCUGCAGGAGAUGAUCAACUAUCACACGAUUUUGUUUGACCAGGCCCAGCGAUCGGUCAAGACCCAGCUUCUAACUUUUGUGAAGGAGGACCUGCGUAAGUUCAAAGAGUCCAAGAAGCAGUUUGACAAGGUGAGCGAGGAGAAGGAGGCGGCGCUGACUAAGAAUGCCCAGGUGCCGCGCAACAAGCAGCACGAGGUGGAGGAGGCCACCAACAUCCUGACGGCCACACGCAAAUGCUUCCGCCACAUCGUCCUCGACUAUGUCCUUCAGAUCAAUGUACUCCAGUCUAAGAGAAGAUCGGAAAUCCUGAAAUCGAUGCUGUCCUUCAUGUACGCCCACCUGACCUUCUUCCACCAGGGAUACGACCUCUUCAGUGAACUACAACCUCUCAUGAAACAGCUGGGGGGACAGCUGGACCAGCUGGUGGUUGAUGCAGCCAAAGAGAAGAGGGACAUGGAGCAGAAACACUCCACCAUUCAACAGAAGGCUGCUCUGCAGGAGGUGACAGAGGUUGAACCUUUACCCGAUGGACGCAGCUUUUGCGCGUGGAGGUCCUCCGACUUCUCGAAUGACGACACCAAGCUGGAGUACAAUGUGGACGCAGACAAUGGCAUCGCGAUGGAGGGCUACCUGUUUAAGAGGGCCAGCAAUGCCUUCAAGACAUGGAACAGGCGCUGGUUCUCCAUUCAAAACAAUCAGUUAGUUUACCAGAAGAAAUUCAAGGAUAAUCCCACAGUGGUGGUGGAGGACUUGCGGCUAUGCACAGUCAAACACUGUGAGGAUAUCGAACGCCGCUUCUGCUUUGAAGUGGUGUCCCCCACCAAGAGCUGUAUGAUGCAGGCGGACUCUGAGAAGCUGAGGCAGGCCUGGAUCAAAGCUGUCCAGAACAGCAUCGCCACCGCCUUCAGGGAGCAGGGAGAGGACGCUGAGAAGCUGGACCGGAAGUCUUCCACGUCGACUGGCAGCCUGGAAUCGGGCGGCGAACCCAAAGAAAAGUCACUAAAGGGGGAGAGUGCCCUCCAGAGGGUCAUGGUCAUUGGGGGCAAUGCCUGCUGCUGCGACUGUGGCCAGCCUGACCCUCGCUGGGCCAGCAUCAACCUGGGCAUCACCCUCUGCAUCCAGUGCUCUGGAAUACACAGGAGUCUGGGGGUCCAUUUCUCCAAGGUGCGCUCGCUCACUCUGGACUCAUGGGAACCGGAACUACUCAAGCUGAUGUGUGAGCUGGGGAACGGGGUCAUCAACCAGAUCUACGAGGCUCGGAGAGAGGAACUGGGAGCCAGGAAGCCAAGGCCAGCAGACCCCAGGCAGGAGAUCGAGGCCUACAUCAGGGCCAAGUACGUGGACCGGCAUUUCGUGCGGCGCCCGUCUGACGAGGAGCUGCGCUCCAAGGUGGUGUCCCUGUCCAAGCAGGAGAAGAGGCUGAGCAGCAGUUUGGAGCACCUGCCUCCCCGGCCGCCACCGCCCACGCCCAAACUCCGGCCCGCCUCCAAUGCCUCAAGUCAGUCAGCUGCCACCAAGGGCUUGGAGGCCCGCCGUGACUCUCUCUUCUGUCCAGACGAGCUUGACUCGCUCUUCUCCUACUUUGACACCUCCGCCAAGCUUAGGAGCAUAAGAAGUGCAGACAGUGGCAUCCAGAACAGUGCUGAUGGGAGUAGGGAGAUGCUGGCCACCAUCCCCUCCACGAACAGCCUGGCUGAAGCAGAAGCUGCCGAGGCGCCUCCCAUGACUAUGCCUGCCAUCCUGCCCCCUCCGUCGCCCUGUAAGGAGGUGGUGGUGUUCUCGGAGCCCAAGGAGUACUCCCCGGGACUGCAGCUGUACUGGGCCUCGUGUGCCCGCAGCCUGCCUGACAUGGCUGAGGCCCUUGCCCACGGAGGGGAGGUCAACUGGGUCAACACCGACGACGAUAAGAGGACCCCGCUCAUCAUGGCUGUGCAGGGGGGCUCUUUGGUGACCUGUGAGUUCCUUCUCCAAAAUGCGGCCAACGUGAACCAGCAGGACGCCCAGGGCCGAGGACCACUUCACCACGCCACCAUCCUGGGUCACACUGGUCAAGUGUGUUUAUUCCUGAAAAGAGGAGCCAAUCAGAAAGCGGCAGACAUUGAAGAGAAAACGCCCCUAUCCAUGGCAGUGGACGCUGCCAAUGCAGACAUUGUCACACUGCUGCGAUUGGCCAAGAUGAAUGAGGAGAUGCGGGAGGCGGAGGGGCCCUACAUGCAGUCAGGUCAAUAUUUCACCAACAGCCCCACCGAGAUGCAAUACAGGAAGUGCAUGCAGGAGUUUAUUAACCUGCAGCUGGAUGAACCCUAGAGACAGUAGAGCCCCAAUACACAGACAGGACUGGCAUCAUAUCUUUAAUAAGCAGACAUUUGAUGUCCUGUGUUGUUGUUCAAUACCUCUAUGAAGACUCAGGUCAGCCAGGUGGUAAGCUAAGCUGCAUCUUGUGUCUAGAGAAAGGUGCUAGACUUUUAUUUACGUGACCGGGGUCAAAGCCAUUAGCCGUAGAGCCAGUGUUUUGACUAGUGAACUGCUGUGACUCGCUGCUCCUUUGAAGUCGUGGCUGUUGUUGUCUGAUGUGUUCCAACUUUCAAACAGCCAUGUCUUUUAUUAGUUGCAAUGUCUAUUCAAAGAGAACUUGCAACAGAGGUCGUCAUGACUAUCAAAUAGCAGUCACGACUAUGUUACGUCAGUCUUGACUAUCAGGCAAUAAUCCUGACUUUUUGAAUGACAGUUUUGACCAUCAGACUGUUGAGUAGCUAGCAGUGUCUUGCCAUGCACCAGGUGUGAUUAUUAGUGAUUUACCUUAGGGAAUAUUUAUAUGCAUAUUCCUGAUAUGCUUAUGCAAUAUUUCAGUGUGUUACAUGCUUGUAUGUUUCCCACAGCGAGUCUUAAACUCCUGUGUAAAAGACCUUGUCUUGUUUGACAUUUUUAUCGUUACAAUGAAGUAUCAAUCUUGGCACAUUUUACGUAUGAACUUUACUUUUGGGAAAUUGACUUGGGAAAGAAUCUAUUUUAAAACGACAAUUGGAUCCAUAUAAGCAUACAAAUUGUUGUAAAUUGUGUAUUGUACAUAAAUAUACAUGUCUAUAUCAUAACAGUAUUAAGCAGAAUAGGAAGUAAAGUUGAGAGAGAUUCUCUGAAGCGGUAAUGUAAAACAACACUGGGUGAGUGCUGUGGCUUCUGUGCUUGCAUCCUUGUAUUAGUUUUUUUGUAUUGUGUGGUAUUUUAUACACCUGUUUUAAGUAUUAAGCUUUCAUUUGAUUGUUAGUCUACCUGGUUACAGUAUGCUGCCUGUCAAAAUUGAACAUUUUCCCCCACUGGGAAUCCUGUUCUUUGUCUGACAACAUUAAUUGACUGUCCUUAAUGUUAGCUGACACUAUUUAGGGUGUGAAUUUAAGUUUAGAUAAGGGAUAUCAAGGUGGUAGAGGACAGUAGUAUAGAAAAGUAUCCAUAUUUAACCAUUUACAGCAUUUUACCACAUACUAGUUAUAUAAUUACCUUAAACUUAUUGGAGCUUAAAGAAAAUGUAAAAAAAAAAAAGAUUUUACUGAGAAUGUCAAUAUAGAACAGUGUGAAGCUCACUCAAGAAUUGUUGGAAAAUAAUGAAUGAAUGAAAUGUACCCCUCUUUCAUCCUUCAUCUCCCCGCUCUCGUAGUCUAUGCCCCUGGCAAUGCCCCCGGGCCAGAUGGGUAAUUUAAACAGGACAAAAAGCACUUUUAUCCGACCUCAUCAUUACUGACACAUCAGACUGCUCCUAGAAGUCCAUAUAAGACUCCCCUUAGCACUUACUGAGUACUACUGUACCCUGAUCCUGGCCAAAGGGGAUGGAUAUCAGCUGAAAGAGAACACACAGAGACUCCACCAUGUAUCCAGUCAGCCAUCUCACUGUAUGUUGAGCAGGUUGGACAGCCCAGAGGCAAGACAUGUACCUCCCCCUUGGUUGUCUGAUAUAUGUCAAUGGUGGUCUCAUGUACCAUGUAGUCCUGCUCUGUGACCAGCCAGUGUGUGUGAGUGUGCACUGAGGAGAUUGAGUAUCAGUUAAAAAAGUGAUUUUAAUGAUUGUGAUGGAUAGCGCUGUUCCUGAAAAGUUUUGUCUAAAGGCCUUUGUAUGUCGAUUCAGUCUUUGACGAUUAUCACGUCACACUGUGCAACGUUACCAAAUUGGCCACGUCACCAGACAGGCUACAUCAACUGCAUCGGUGUAUUUGAUCUGCGCAUGUACCAGCACACUGCUUUUCCGCGAGUGAAGUGAGUUCGGAAAAACUGGAAGUAUGCAAACUUUAUAUGUCCAAACUGAGUCAAAUAGGCUUUCCAAAAAUAACAUGGACGCUGUGGUAGAACGUUUAUUAUGAUUGCUGAUUUUGUGCAUUUAUCAAAAUCUCAUCAGGUAGCCUGAUUUCAGAUGUCAUGUAAACAAGAUUAUUAGGGAAAUCGUUGUUCUUGCACAGCAUGUACAUGUUUAAAUCAAACUAUUAUAUUUAAUCUGACUAAUCACAAUAAUAUUAAUUAAUAUUAAAGGCAAAAAAAUUGGUCGGAGCCUACGACCGCACGUAGUGGUACUUAAUUGGCAGACCCUACGAGCCAAGAUGUCCGAAAAUCGUUUACGACCUAAGAAUUUGCCGACGACUUGGAAACUUUGUCGGGGGCGACAAAAUCGUGACAUAAGAUAGGUCAAAUCGUACAGUCUGCAAAGGCCUUAGGCUAGAGUUUGAAGUGUGAGUCUGACAGGGUAAGGAAACAAUUUGUGCCACAAGAGUGCUGCAUUUAGAAAUUCCCCCCCAUUCACUGAAUGAGUGGAAUAUACUGAGGGCUAACAGUUGCGUUUGGAAGGCAGCCUAGGUGACAGUAUGUUGCUCUUUGGACUUGACGUAAUGUAGGCUAUUGGAUAUUGUUCCUCCAUUUCAAAUGUGUUUGGCAAUUUCUCACUAUGUAGAUUCAGUCAAUGGCCAUAGAUGGCAUAGCUGCACCAUAGAUUAUUGGACCUGUAACAAGAAGAAUACUUGAUUGAAUACGACUGUCCACGUACCGUUUUCCUCAAUGUAACUUCUGUCAUACUUUAAAAAUGCGAUGUGAGUGAUUAUUAUUGCCUUAAGGUCAAGAGCAAAUACAGUAGUGUGGAUACAGUAGUGUUGAUUACAAAGACAAUGUUUUACACUUUGUUAGUGAAGGAACCUGAAGUGUAUGAAUGUGUUGUAGGGAAGGGAUCCAAAUGAAGUGUGGAACGAGGCUGUCUUGUUACUUAGUCUUUCUCUAACUUCACUUUUCUGUUUUCUGUACUGUUCUCUUUUUUCCCUCUCUCUCCCCGGAGUUUGUGCCUUUCUUCUGUUCUCUCGUUUCUUUGGGGUGCUGAGGCCAACACAGCUGUAUUUUUGUACAUAAAUCCUGCACUUUAAAUACAAUACAGUUGCUAACAAAACUAAUCUUGUGAUGAUUUUUUUCCCGCAUCACAAUUCACUGCAAAGAGAGGGCCUUACCUUGGUAUUGCUUCAGGCCUUCACACUGCUCAAACAUUGUGGUGCUGCUUUCUUUCAUUCUGUCACCUCUUUCUCCUCCGCAUAAUGUGCUUUCUCUCUACUGAGCCACAGUGACACUUUAACAGGAGAUGAAACCUACCAAGACAUUUUCCAGGACUUUUCCCAGAUGGCGUCAAACGACCCGGAGAAGCUGAACCGCUACCAGCAGUACGACUCGCAACAGAGGCCAUGAGGGAGAUGCUACAACUCAGGAGGACCCACUUGGAAGUGUGCAGAUAGGUCCGGAAUUCUAACGGGGUGUGCUCAGCACCAGUAUCAGAAGGCCGUUUCUCCAGAACCUCAAUGGCGAAGGUGUCUGUCAUAUAUCGCUUUUAAUUGGUUUUAAUGGUCUACAUUUUUACCCCUCGAGUAAAAAAUACAUUUCAAUGUGGUGCUUUGUUGUUGAUCCAUAAUAAGCACUUUUUGCAGUUCUGGUAGCAUGUUUUCAUAGCAUUGAUCUGUUGUAUAUUAAGCUACAAGCGAGAUUCAUUAUGUCACAAUGUUAAACAUUAAGGUUAAUGUCAACCCCCAGGUAAACAUAUCCUGCCAUCUUACUUAAUUGCACAAGGUCCCACUUUCCUCGUCUUAAGUCAUCACUGAUGUUUACGGUGAAACUUUGAAGUGUGAGUCGAUGUACAGUUGGUGUAGAGUGCACGUUGCUGGUUUGUCACUCUUCCGAUAAUGUUGAAAAGCCCAUAAUGUGGCACAUGCAAAGAUUUUGAUAGUGGGUAUUUUUGAUGACAAUACUUUUGUUUUGUGUGAUUUUAGGGGUAAAAAUGAAUUGUCAGAUUCUCCAUGUUUGACACCAGACUAGUUAUUUGUUUGUGAGGGGAUUGGUAGUAGUGUUUUGUUUUUGUUUUGUUGUGUGGGGAAAACAAGCCUUAUGUUGUUUGAGUAUCAUUUCAUAUUCAAUCUCAUUUUGGGAUUGAACCCGGAAGCCAGCUGCACCAAUGUGUCGGAGGAAACACUAUACAAGUCAGCGUGCAUGCGGCCACACGAGUCGCUAGAGCGUGAUGGGACAAGGACAUCCCGGCCGGCCAAACCCUCCACUAACCCGGACGAUGCUGGGCCAAUUGUGCGCCGCAUCUCAGUCGCAGCCGGCUGCGACACAGCCCGGGAUUGAACCCGGGUCUGUAGUGACGCCUCUAGCACUGCCUUAGACCGCUGCGCCACUCAGGAGGCCCUGUGUUUGUCCCUUUCUGUAUGUUCAUGUUUGAGUUUAGGUCCCCAUAUUGUAGUACCCGCUGUUUCUGAAAUGCUCACUAUUAUAUUUCAAACUCAGUAUUUUUGCUUCCUGCUCAUUGGAUAGCAAAAAAUAACACCUACAAACAAUCAGUGUAGAUGAAGAGACCGGUAUCCUUUUUCUGCACUGGGCUAAAUCAUGGUCACAGUGAUUCUUGGUAAUCUUAAACAAAUCUACACACCACACACAUGGUUAUGGGCUUUAAAGAAAAUACACCUGUACCAUGUCAGAGUUUAAAUGUAUUAAAUUGAGUUUGUAUCCCAAUAUUACACUUUAUAUACACAUCACAGAAGACUGAAAUAUAACAAAACUGUUUGAGAGACACCAGAUUUUUGUUUAUAAUUAUGAAAAAUAUUAACAUUCCACCCAUGAGGCCAAAGAAGGUGCUUUUGGUCAUAGAAAUCCUUCUGUAGCACUUUACUGCAGUCUAAGCCUUGAGACAAUUGAGACAUGGAUUGUAAUUGUGUGCCAUUCAGAGGGUGAAUGGGCAAGACAAAAGAUUUAAGUGCCUUUGAAUGGGGUAUGGUAGUACUGAAGGUGCCAGGCGCACCGGUUUGAGUGUGUCAGGAACUGCAACGCUGCUGGGUUUUUCACACUCAAAUGUCCAGUGUGUAUCAGGAAUGGUCCACCAACAAAAGGACAUCCAACUGUAGGCUGUGGGAAGCAAUGGCGUCAACAUGGGCCAGUAUCCCUGUAGAAUGCUUUCGACAACUUGUAGAGUCCAUGCCCUGACAAAUUGAGUCUUUUCUGAGGGCAAAGGGGGGUGCAACUCAAUAUUCUGUGGAUACAUACUACUGUCACUCUUUUCGGCAUUGCAUUUACAACGCGAAGAGCUCUUCAGCCCGUUAUACCUGGUGCUAACAUGCUUCCUGUGUCCGUAUCGGCUCCACAUUCUGAUUAUGCCCACAUUUUUAUACCUGCCAAAACGAUUAAAAUAACGGAGUGUGAUCAGAUUUUCCUGACUACUUCUGGAGGUAGUCUGGAACCUAAACAUUUCUUUGACUCUCGCCUGUAAAAACCCACCCACUGACCUCUCGCUAAACUCGGCCCACUGAGCUUUCAUCCAACCAAUCAAUUCAUCCCUGACUGUCUGGAGGUGGUCAGGAAGAUCGGUUCUUUUAAUUGUCUAUACCCGUCUAAAAAUGUGUGCAAGAUCAAGACAUGUUAUCAGCAGGUAUAAACGGGGCUAUACUUAAUACAACAUGGGAUAUCUCUUGUACUGCUUUUGUAUAUGCCUACGUUAAAUAUAGUGGUACCAGAAUAAUUAAAUAAGCUCUUGUAAAUGCUGUUCAUGUUCUUACAUUUCGUCUUUUUAUAUUUUCUCUCCCUAUACCACUCAUAUGUAUACUAUCCAUGUAAUUAAGGACUAUAUUACAUUUACUGCAAAUAGUGGACUGAAAAUGUAUUGCUGAAUGUCGAAUUGUUUGUUUGCUUUGUCAGAUUGAUUAUAUAAAUACAUUUUCCGUUGUGA